rnacentral:sRNA from 2 species
GGUUGCUCACGCAUGUCGGCCAUCCUCCCGGUCGAGGAGCAACUGUUCCCUCUGGAGGUUCUUGACCUUCAUACUCUAGCCACCGUGUAAAGCGGUGGCUUUUU